GAUCAGCUAAGAUGUUGUUUCACUGGAUUAUUUAAUUGGGCAUAUAAUUGGAUAAUUCUGUCCUCAACCUGGAAGAUAUGUUUUAUUCCCAACCAUCUAUAAUCCAUUCUCUAUGAAGUUCAGCCUGUCUGCCCAAAUUCCUUUGGAAAUACAUAGUUAGUCAACCAACAUAGAAACAAUCAAACUUGAAGUCCUCAACAUGGAAGAAUUGGUUUGUUCUUAACCAUCUAUAAUCCAUUCUUUAUGAAGUGAAGCCUGGCUGCUGGUCUUCCUUUGGAAAUACACAGUUAGUCAAUCAACAUAGAAACACACAAACUUGAAGGAUUCUCUAGUGAGGGCUUAUGGAAAUGAUCUAUGUCUACUCUCAGAAUGGUGAAAGACUAUCAGAUUAUGCAAAGAUUAACAGAAUAUCCUCUCUUGGAACACUGAAACAAGAAAACCAAACUUAAAAGAUGGAGGAUUUAAGAAGAACAUAAAUACUAUUUCCAACUAAUUUAACCAGUACGAUCAUAGACUGUGGUUUACAGGAUGACAAAGAAAGAAGUCAGGAUUGUAUCUUCCAGUGUCAGACACUGACUAUGGAUAAAGUGUAAUCAUUUAUCAAACUGAGAUAUAGUCAAAUCAAGUAUUGAAAAUAUGAUUUUCUGAUAGCAUGAGCUCUUUAAAAACUAAUUCUCACGGACCUCAAAGUAUCUGAAUGUGACUUUUAUUUUGACCAAUUCAUAUUGAAGACUGUUGUUAUGUAUGGUAAUUACAUAUUUAAAACUUUUAUUUUUCAUCUAAUUUUUACAACCCCCUAGAAAUUACACAGAUUUCCAGAUGCUGAAUUUAAUGUUAUUAUUUAACUUUCCUGGAAUUGUAAAUAUAUUUUGUUUGUGUAUGUAUCAUGUUUAAUUUUGAAUUUGAAAUUGGUCUCAGUAAGACCCCCAAUAAAGAUGCAAGUGUCCCAUAAUCUGUGGUUUAAUAAUAUCUUGAAUAUCUUUAUCAUACCAUAUUCAUCAUACUCAUUACAUAUAGAAUGGUUGUAGGAAUACACUUUGUUGUUUAGGACACUUUGUCAAGGUCAAAGCAUAAGAUUAUUGAGAUGACUUCUUUGACAAUAAUUUGUAACUUACAAACUUCACAUCAUAAGUACACAGAUGAAGAAUCAAUAAGAUAUUUCUAUAGAUUUUUUUUGGAUCAUUUACUCCUGGGUAAAAGUUAAUUACUGAGAUUACUGAUUUGAGUCCUGUAAUGCAAUAACUUUAACAUUGUGUGAUAACUUAUAGACUUUAUAAAAAAUUAGGUGCAAAUUCUUAGGAAAGGAUUGAAAUGUUAAUCAAAUGAACAAUGUUCAAGGGUGUUUA